rnacentral:lncRNA from 1 species
GUUCAUUGCCCUUCAGCAACUGCCGACUAAGGGAGACAAAUCAGAUAUCUUCACACGAUUUCAUUAAGGCUUAGUGCUAACAAGAAUGCAUAGUUUUUGUGAUUUAAGAUAAUAAAUUAGCGUGUGUGUUUCCCACAUCGACUCGACAUUUUUCCACGUAAUACAGAAAGGUCUGGUUCUUUUUAUGAACUGGGUGCCUGCAUUGCCAUCUUUCCUUUGUAUUUUAGAAGUAAACUAAAUUCAUCUGUGAGCCUCUAGUGCAGCAUUCAUUUAAAAAUAUCUCUUUUUUUCCAUUGAUAAUUUUCUUUGGAUUCAAAGGUCAGAGUUUAUUGUCUGUCCCACUGACACCAUGUGCACAAGAACCGCCGCUUGCUCUUCACCAGCCCUCACUCAGCAAACAUCGGUCAGUUUACCUUCUCAGUGUCAGAGCCUGAGUGAGAUGCUGAGAAACUACUCAACAGGGAUGAUUGUCGUUUUGUGUUUUUCAUUCGUAAGCAGCCUCAGUGAACUGACUCACUCUUCUACGUAGAGAGAAACACGCAAAAUGCAUUUGGUUCUCAUUUCUCUUACUAGCGUUUCCUUAUAAAAACACAAUUUAUAAGCUCCUGCCAUUUGGAACUUCUUAUAAGAAACUCAAAAUGAUCUAUUUUUAUUUAAAUGUUCUCUUCACCUCCUCUCUCUUUGUGAAAAUAAGUAGUUUCAGUAACACAUGCUGUUCUUUCCAUAGCUUACAUCUCCCUGUCUUGAAAAAAAAGAUCUCUGCAGUUUGUGAUGAGGGUUUUUAUCCUGACUUCGAUAUAUGUUAACAUUUUGGGGAUUGAGUAUUCUAGACAUGUCUUAGAAUGCUUUCAUUUUCAUCGUUCUUAUGUAUUUUAAGUUGUAUGACCCGUUUUGACGUGGAAUGCAUUUAAAAAGUUGGUGUAGGAGAGGACUCUUUACCAUGGUAUGUGUUGGUUAUCUGAUAUGUAAUAAAUGCAUGGUUUCGUGGCUGAUUUUCCACCUCCCAAAGGGAAGGGGGUGGGUUUCCUUAGUGUCCAGAUCAAAGGAGCCAUUCAUAGCAUGUUCUCACAUGUUCCAUGUCAGCCUGAUGAAACCUGCCCUGCCGAGGCGUGAACUUUCCGUACUAGCCGUCUCCGUGUUAUGUUCAAUAAAUUCUGUGCUCUGAAUG